rnacentral:rRNA from 1 species
GGGUUGUGAGGUUAAGCGACUAAGCGUACACGGUGGAUGCCCUGGCAGUCAGAGGCGAUGAAGGACGUGCUAAUCUGCGAAAAGCGUCGGUAAGGUGAUAUGAACCGUUACAGCCGGCGAUGUCCGAAUGGGGAAACCCAGUGUGAUUCGUCACACUAUCGUUAACUGAAUACAUAGGUUAACGAGGCGAACCGGGGGAACUGAAACAUCUAAGUACCCCGAGGAAAAGAAAUCAACCGAGAUUCCCCCAGUAGCGGCGAGCGAACGGGGAGCAGCCCAGAGUCUGAAUCAGCUUGUGUGUUAGUGGAACGGUCUGGAAAGUCCGACGGUACAGGGUGAUAGUCCCGUACACCAAAAUGCACAGGCUGUGAACUCGAAGAGUAGGGCGGGACACGUGGUAUCCUGUCUGAAUAUGGGGGGACCAUCCUCCAAGGCUAAAUACUCCUGACUGACCGAUAGUGAACCAGUACCGUGAGGGAAAGGCGAAAAGAACCCCGGCGAGGGGAGUGAAAAAGAACCUGAAACCGUGUACGUACAAGCAGUGGGAGCACCUUCGGGUGUGACUGCGUACCUUUUGUAUAAUGGGUCAGCGACUUAUAUUCUGUAGCAAGGUUAACCGUAUAGGGGAGCCGCAGGGAAACCGAGUCUUAACUGGGCGUUAAGUUGCAGGGUAUAGACCCGAAACCCGGUGAUCUAGCCAUGGGCAGGUUGAAGGUUGGGUAACACUAACUGGAGGACCGAACCGACUAAUGUUGAAAAAUUAGCGGAUGACUUGUGGCUGGGGGUGAAAGGCCAAUCAAACCGGGAGAUAGCUGGUUCUCCCCGAAAGCUAUUUAGGUAGCGCCUCGUGAAUUCAUCUUCGGGGGUAGAGCACUGUUUCGGCUAGGGGGUCAUCCCGACUUACCAACCCGAUGCAAACUACGAAUACCGAAGAAUGUUAUCACGGGAGACACACGGCGGGUGCUAACGUCCGUCGUGAAGAGGGAAACAACCCAGACCGCCAGCUAAGGUCCCAAAGUCAUGGUUAAGUGGGAAACGAUGUGGGAAGGCACAGACAGCCAGGAUGUUGGCUUAGAAGCAGCCAUCAUUUAAAGAAAGCGUAAUAGCUCACUGGUCGAGUCGGCCUGCGCGGAAGAUGUAACGGGGCUAAACCAUGCACCGAAGCUGCGGCAGCGACACUAUGUGUUGUUGGGUAGGGGAGCGUUCUGUAAGCCUGCGAAGGUGUGCUGUGAGGCAUGCUGGAGGUAUCAGAAGUGCGAAUGCUGACAUAAGUAACGAUAAAGCGGGUGAAAAGCCCGCUCGCCGGAAGACCAAGGGUUCCUGUCCAACGUUAAUCGGGGCAGGGUGAGUCGACCCCUAAGGCGAGGCCGAAAGGCGUAGUCGAUGGGAAACAGGUUAAUAUUCCUGUACUUGGUGUUACUGCGAAGGGGGGACGGAGAAGGCUAUGUUAGCCGGGCGACGGUUGUCCCGGUUUAAGCAUGUAGGCUGGUUGUCCAGGCAAAUCCGGAUAAUCAAGGCUGAGGUGUGAUGACGAGGCACUACGGUGCUGAAGUAACAAAUGCCCUGCUUCCAGGAAAAGCCUCUAAGCAUCAGGUAACAUCAAAUCGUACCCCAAACCGACACAGGUGGUCAGGUAGAGAAUACCAAGGCGCUUGAGAGAACUCGGGUGAAGGAACUAGGCAAAAUGGUGCCGUAACUUCGGGAGAAGGCACGCUGGUGUGUAGGUGAAGCCCCUGCGGGUGGAGCUGAGACCAGUCGAAGAUACCAGCUGGCUGCAACUGUUUAUUAAAAACACAGCACUGUGCAAACACGAAAGUGGACGUAUACGGUGUGACGCCUGCCCGGUGCCGGAAGGUUAAUUGAUGGGGUUAUCCGUAAGGAGAAGCUCUUGAUCGAAGCCCCGGUAAACGGCGGCCGUAACUAUAACGGUCCUAAGGUAGCGAAAUUCCUUGUCGGGUAAGUUCCGACCUGCACGAAUGGCGUAAUGAUGGCCAGGCUGUCUCCACCCGAGACUCAGUGAAAUUGAACUCGCUGUGAAGAUGCAGUGUACCCGCGGCAAGACGGAAAGACCCCGUGAACCUUUACUAUAGCUUGACACUGAACAUUGAGCCUUGAUGUGUAGGAUAGGUGGGAGGCUUUGAAGCGUGGACGCCAGUCUGCGUGGAGCCAACCUUGAAAUACCACCCUUUAAUGUUUGAUGUUCUAACGUUGGCCCCUGACCGGGGUUGCGGACAGUGUCUGGUGGGUAGUUUGACUGGGGCGGUCUCCUCCCAAAGCGUAACGGAGGAGCACGAAGGUUAGCUAAUCCUGGUCGGACAUCAGGAGGUUAGUGCAAUGGCAUAAGCUAGCUUGACUGCGAGCGUGACGGCGCGAGCAGGUGCGAAAGCAGGUCAUAGUGAUCCGGUGGUUCUGAAUGGAAGGGCCAUCGCUCAACGGAUAAAAGGUACUCCGGGGAUAACAGGCUGAUACCGCCCAAGAGUUCAUAUCGACGGCGGUGUUUGGCACCUCGAUGUCGGCUCAUCACAUCCUGGGGCUGAAGUAGGUCCCAAGGGUAUGGCUGUUCGCCAUUUAAAGUGGUACGCGAGCUGGGUUUAGAACGUCGUGAGACAGUUCGGUCCCUAUCUGCCGUGGGCGCUGGAGAAUUGAGGGGGGCUGCUCCUAGUACGAGAGGACCGGAGUGGACGCAUCACUGGUGUUCGGGUUGUCAUGCCAAUGGCACUGCCCGGUAGCUAAAUGCGGAAGAGAUAAGUGCUGAAAGCAUCUAAGCACGAAACUUGCCCCGAGAUGAGUUCUCCCUGAGACUUUAAGUCUCCUGAAGGAACGUUGAAGACGACGACGUUGAUAGGCCGGGUGUGUAAGCGCAGCGAUGCGUUGAGCUAACCGGUACUAAUGAACCGUGAGGCUUAACCUUACAACGCCGAAG